rnacentral:rRNA from 1 species
GUCUUUGGACAUAUCACCCUGAAUGCACCUGAUCUUGGAAGUGAAACAGAGUCAGGCCCGGUUAGUCUUUGGAUGGGGAAAUAUCUAGACACACCACUGGGAAACAUUCACAUGGCAACCUGAUUCA